rnacentral:ncRNA from 1 species
AGCACCCGCGCGGGAGAGACCGCCCCUUGACCGGGGUGGCGCCGAAGGGGCAGAUCCCUCCCCGGAACCUCUCAGGCAAAAGGACCGCGUGGGCAGG